rnacentral:lncRNA from 1 species
GCAGAGCCUGUAAAGUGACAUGCAAAGUGCUCCUUCCGUAAUCUCACACCUCACCCCAUCCUCUGCCUCCCCCCCCCGCUACUUCACGUUCCCCAAAUCAAGCGCCAGUGAAGGGCUCAACCCGUGUUGGGGAGUAACUUGAUUAGGUGUGGGUGGGGCAAGCGUGAGCUGUGCGUUCUCAUAGCUAUAGAAAUGAGAAUAGUACCAACGACUGCACCAUGGAAGCAAUUUACUCUGUUAAAAAAAUAGCCCUUUUUCUUUCAUCGGAGGAGUGCUCCCAAUCUCUUGUUUAAACUGGAUGAUAGAAUAAAAAAUACAGGAGUAAUUUUGAAACAUCAACAAAUUCACCUAACUAAUGUGCCAUGACAGUAGGCAAUUGGUAAGAAGAGCACUAUUGUAUGUAAGUAAGCGAAUAGCAUGAAACUCAAUAAAAAGACAGAUUUUCAGGUUAUUAAAUGGAGGGCUAGACAGAAAAGGAAAUGAGAUGUGUAAGCGCGUGGUAACACGGCAUUGGUGUACACAGGACUUGGAUAAAAUCUGAUGUGGGGUUGAUGGGUUUCCACAAUGUUGACCUUUCUGCUUCAAAAUCGAAUGACCGGGGUAAGUUAAAAGCUAGUUUUCCCCUCAACUCUGGGUUUGACAAUUUUAUCACCAAAUUUAAACAUAAAAAAGAAAUGCAUCCCUUCGCAGAGCUUUCUAAGAUUUUGCCACCAAAUCACAGUUUGCUGGCCAGGCUUGUUCUUUUUCUUCCCCUGCCUCAAGUGGUCCUUGUUUCCUGGAUACAGAUCUCAUCAGUCAGCCUGCAGAGCUGGAGCCGGCCCCCUGCCAAUCCACCUCUCUCUCCAGUGUACUUCUAGAACAUUCCCAGGGCAUCCACCUGUGCUCGUAGAUGCCCCACCCCCCUCAUCAUCCACCCGCAAUGGUGUGCAGGGUUUGUGAAGCCAUCUGAGUAGAACCUUACUUUUGACUCUGCAUCCAGUGACCACAGACCACCUAAAUGCCCAAGCGCCCAGAUACCUCCCGACAUCCCAGCUCAGUGAGGCUGUGCAAGAGCACGCCCCUUCCCCGUUGAGGUCACACGCUGUCAUCUGGCCUCAAAGCAGCAUUGCACAUGGAUCCAUCCUUAUCUGGGGAAACCAGGCCUUUCUGCUCCCGCCCAUGCUGCUGUCUGCAGGGGCUUUGCUCCAGUCCACAAGGCUGGGCUGGCCAUGUAGACGUCUUAGCCCAACUCCAUCUCCACCACCACGAACCAAGGAUUAAAAAAUAAUGACACUAAAAGCCCCCACUCACUGCCACCUGAUCCUUCAGCUCCCAGAUAGCAUCAAACCUAGAGCUUACGCCCUCCACCCAGCCCCGUCCCCACUCGAUUCCAAGCAUGCAGUUUUGAUCCGGGGUGUCCAGGGAAGAGCUGGGCCUUCAUCUCUGAGGCUGCCAUUGCUGAGCCUUAUAUCCUGGGAUAUUCCCAGGAUGCCUUGCUGGAGUCUCCCCAGGGCAGCUGAGAGGCCAGCUGGUGCUGACUCAUAGGAGGAACUGACCCAUCAGGGAUGAUUCGUGAACCCUCAGGACAGAGUCACCGUGUUCCGGCUUCCAGCCAGUCAGUGAGCGGGUGUGAUCGACCAAAGUAUGGUGCUGUAUUUUUUCAAAGAUGAGUGUAAACAAAUUUGCCUCCGAAAUUCUUAGUCUUUUCUGUAAGUUGAAGGGUCGAGCUCCCGCCAAGGUCCCAGCAAGACCGAGGUAUCGUCAGCUCACACGUUCACUCAGUCAGAGUCGAUCGAAGGCUGACUCAGUAGUACUUGGUGCCUGGAAGUAUUGAAGGAGCUGACGAUACAGCAGCGACCCCAAAUCUGCAUUCUAAAGAGAGGGAUGAAGAGCAAAAACAAGUAAGCGAUUGAAUGUUAGACUCUACAAGUGCCAUGAAAUACAUGAGAAGACUAGGUGGAGAGCGAAAGGGAAUUGGUUAAAACGUUGUAUUAGGGAAAAUUGCAAGCACAUAUAAAAGUAGAAAAAAAUAGUGUCAUGAACCGUACCGAUUCACCAUCCAGCUUCUCCAGUGACCAACUGUGGACCGACCCCCUUGCAUGAUACCCCCACCCUCUCUCUCCAUCGCACUGAUGAUUUUAAAAUGCAUCCUCAGCCUCAUUUCCGUGUACAUGUCUUGGCAUGAAUCUCUAAAAGAAAGCUUUUUAGAUAAAGUAGUUGAAGAAGGUGUCUCUCAGGAGCUGACCCGGGGGAAGAGAGGCGUGAAUGGGAAAGGGUUGCAUCUGUAGAAACAGCAAGCGCCAACACCCCAGGGUGGUUGAGGACUUGCAAAAAGCCCGGUGUGACUCCAGAGGGAGCGAGGGGCCACGGGGACUCAACCCUAGAACAGCAGAAUGGCCACACCUUCCUGGAGGAAUAGAAAUUACUACAGCAAAACUUGCAUGGUGUUUACGACAGGCCAGGAGCGUUUUUUGCAAUGUGUUAAUUCAUGUAUUUUUCACGCCAUCCCUAUGACAUCGUCCCUUCUCUUCGUGUCCCCAUUUUACUAAAACUGAAGAAAGCAAGACACGGCGAGUGUUUCCGUCCUCUCCGGCUGCUGUAGCAAAAUACCACAGACUGCAGGGCUUAAUGAAGCAGAAGUGUAAUUCUCACAGUUCUGGAGGCUGGGAAGUCCAAGAUCAAGGCCCCAGCAGGGCUGAUUCUGCUGAGAGCCCUCUUCCUGGUUCCCAGUGCCUGCUGGCUGUGUCCUUGGGCGCCUCUUUCCUAAAAGGCACGGAUCCCACUCAGACAGGCUCCGCCCCUGUGACGUGAGCGCCUCCCCGAGGGCCCCGCUCCCAGAGCACCGCCGUCGGGGAUGAAGAUGCCCGGGGAGGAACUGGAGAGAGGAGAUGCGCCCGCAGACCGUAGCAGAGAGGUUCCGUGCCUGGCAGCCUCGCAACGGGACCCCAGGCAGUCGGUUGCGGAAGAUGAGCGCCUCAUCCUCAGCCUGCGCUGCUUCCCUGUCCCCUUCAGCCCGAAUGUCUCGGGCCCUGCCAGCCGCGUGUCCCUGCAACUCUGAGACCCAGGGCUGCCCUCCGCUCUCCCCGACGCCGCCCGGACGCCACCCCCUCCAGGUCCGGGUGCUGCUCCCGGGCGGCUCAUCUUCUCCCGCUUCCCAUCUCCUCCCACCAGAUCGCCUUCCCUGUUUGACAGGAAGCUCCCAGAGGGUAGGAACAUGUCAGUCUGUCACCGGCUCCCUCCCACUGUGUCCAAAACAUAGCGGGGACCCCCUGCAUGAAUGUUUGCAGGGCGGAGGCUUUACUGAGGGAAGGGGAGUGACGUUUGGCCUGUCGCAGUCAGUGUUCCCGUCCCCGCCCAGAUUCCCUGGAAGGCUUCUUUUCUGUAAGUUGCCCCCACCUCGGGGCGGGUGGGGGGAGCUUUCAGCAACCAGCACCCAGGGCACUCACUGGCAGGACUCUACUUUGCCCCAAGAGCAAAGAGCCACUGGUCAGGUUUGCCGAGGGAGGAAGGUGCAAGGCCACGUGGGUACAGCCAGAGAGAUUUAUGAAGGCCUCAGAGGGGGGCGGGCUGAGCCCCAGAUGGCGCCGGCCCGACGGUGAGGAGGCGCUGGGCUUCUCCGGCUUCUGUGGCGGGCAUCUGUGGCUGGAUGGAGUUCAUGGCGGGAACCUGUGGUGGGAACAGCGAAGGAGGAGGGGGCGGUCAGGGGAGGGGGAGGGGGUCGAGUCCCAGGACAGAGGGCAGUUCGUCCUUGCAGGUGGUGAGUCUACGCAGACAGGUGUUUUCCGCAGGCCAUUGUGUCUUGCUGCCCAGCUUGAGCAACCACAUUCCAGGAAGGGUAGAGAUUUUGUGCUGGGUGCUGGGCUGUACCCAUGCCCGCAGCAGGUCCCCAAGAUGAACAGCCACAUUCGGGAUGCGGGCGGGGGGUGGGGGGCGUCUGUGUCCAUCCUCCUGGGAACCCACCACCAACAAUGCCCGGGGAUUUGAUUCCCAAGCCUCUCCUCUACCCAGGGCUGUUGCCUUGACUGUCAGAUGUGGAGUGAGGGCCGCCUGUUUCCUUACCUCGGGUGGGAAGUCACGCCCCAGAGCCCCUCCCAGACUGGAAUUCCUCCCUCCCGCCCUCCAUCCUGUUUCUGGAGGACUCAACCUCAGACUUCAGUUAUUUGGAAAAUUCCUCUGUUCGUCAGUAUGGCUGAGUGUUGAUAGAAGAUUCCUGGAGGAGCUCCCUCUAUGGCACAGUGGAUUAGGAGUCUGAAGUGGCUCGGGUUGCUGCACAAGUGCACGUUGGGUCCUCAGCCCAGUAGAGGGGGUUAAAGGGUCUGGCAUUGCUGCACCUGUGGUGUAGGUCACAGCUAUGGCUCAAAUUCAACCUCUGGCCCAGGAAUUUCUAUGUGCUGUGUGCGUGGCCAUUAAAAAAAAAGUUACUGGAGUGUUAAUGGAAAGUUACUAUACUUAACAGCUUUGCCACAAAAUUAAAAUCAAAUCCAUUCUGAGACCACACUGAAAUCCGUGUGAUUUUACGCGGAUGACUCCCAGGUGUUUCAGGACGUUCCAGUGCCCGAGAGUCCUCACUGCAAACCUCAGUCGUCCAGUCUGAGCCUUCCCAGCAACGGGAAUGGAGCCUCUUGGUUGGCAGAAAGAUGGUUAGCAUCCAUCACGCUGUCAUCUCUCCAGGGAAGGGGGCAGAGAGCAAGCAGCAAAGCUUGGCUCAAUAUUAAAACGCACAAAACUGGUUUCUAACUGUUAUGAGGUUUUAUAACACAUGAUAAUCAUGAGACCCCGAGGAAAACCUGGAGGAUCAACCUCACAGCAAGGGGACCGUUGAGAUGAGUCGGCCGCCCUGCCCCUAUUUGCCUACUGGCGCUUCCUUGCCCUUUAAGAGAGGACUUGAGAGGAGGAGGGGGAGAUACUGGUUUGGGUAAAAGAGUCCCCAUGGGUUCUUCAUGUGAACAGCGUAAGCAUAGUCCAGUUCCGUGUAGAUGAACUUGAAAAGCCAUGUUUCUAGGCAGGCGAUGCGAGUCAUUUCAGACCUUCAAUGGGGGGGAUUGCAACAAGUGUGCUUAUCGACACCCUCAUGGAAAAACAAGUGGCACCGCAGUUCCCGAGUUUUCAACUGAAAAGUUAGUAGCAAAAAGAGCGGCUCCAAAACCCAUACUCCGUAAAACUCACGGAGCUCAUGAGGCGAAGGAUAAAACUGUGGAUCGUGGGCAAUUAUGCUCCCAAGAGUGGUUGGAGCCUGUUGCAUUCACAAGGUCCUCCCCGCAGAGAGACAGAGCCAUAGAAUGUAGGGCCACAGCCGAAUGCCACCCACGCUGGCAUGUGUGCAGACGAGGUUUAUGAUGACAGACGGAUGUCAUCAGCCACUUUUCACACAGAACAUCCUGAUGACGAAUGCCCAGAUUCAACAAACCUGCGCGCUUUCGCAGGCUGCAGGAUGAGUCUUUCAGAGAAAGAGAAGAAGGGGCAAGACCCGCCGUUGUGCAGCGACACCAUCUGACGUCACACCUAUGACAUCAUCACAGAGCAAUCCUUUUAUGUUUUUGGCUGUACCUGCCACCUGUGAAUGUUCCCAGGCCGGGAUCAAACCUGCGCCACUGCAGUGGCAAUGCCAGAUCCUUACUCUGCUGUGGCACAAGGGAACUCCUAAGAGGAAUCCUUGAAGAAAGUUUAGCGAAGCUUUUCUUCUCGUUACCAGUUAGUGUCCACAGUUAAUGAAAAUGUGCAGAAAGCACUAUAGAUUUGAGAAUGUGGGUCUAUUCUCAUGAUGAGAUGAGUAACGAGUACCCCUGGUGAUACGUGAAUAUAGAAAUCAACCCCUGCACAUCCUACGGGAAAUUCUUUUUAUAAAUCCUCUUCCUCUGUGCCCUCACUGUCAAAUCAGUAACCGUGGGACCGACUCACUCACAGUAUUUUGGCACGAGGCAGGAAUUAAACGGCAAAUGGAAUUCCUUCUGGAAACCUAACUUAACGUGUUGGGGAGAAAGUGUGAGAUAACAGACUAGAAAAGGUGGCUGGUCUGCCCUCUCUCUAGCCUGGCCUCAGAAUCAAAACAGUGCUUUCUCUGUACAUUUCUCUGUAAAUGAUCAAAUAUGAGAGGUCCCAGCCAAGCAAGCAGCAGCAGCAUGCUUUACAUACUUCUUUCUGACGCCCUCCAGUUCCAAAUAAUUUUUUGGGCCCCAUCUGCAGUGUGUGGACGUUCCAGGGGCCAGCGAUCAAACCCACCCCACAGCAGCAACCGUGGCAACACAAGAUCCUCAACCUACUGUGCCACAAAGGAACUCCCAUCCCAAAUAUUUUUAAACAGCAUGUUUAUCUUUUCAAUUAUGAAACUCACCUCAUUCAAUAGUCACAUUACUUGGCUAAUAGCUUCCUUCAAGCUGCUCUUGAAAAAUAAGCAAAAUAUGAUGUGGCUGUGGUAGAGGCCGGCAGCUGUAGCUCUGAUUCAACCCCUAGCCUGGAAACCUCCAUAUGCCACAGGUGCAGCCCUCAAAAGACAAAAAAAA